AGCCAGGGUAAUCAUCAAGGUAUGAACUUAUUUUCUGGCAGGUCACAAUGGAAAAUAAGUGUUGAUUUAGUACAACUAGGGUAGGCCGUACUUUUAUACUUCUGUGAACUGCACGCCACUGCUAGUAGGUAGCCUAUAAUUGAUUCAU